rnacentral:rRNA from 1 species
GUCUAUGGUCAUGCCACCCUGAACAAGCCCAAUCCCAUCUGAUCUUGGAAGCUAAGCAGGGUUGGGUCUUAGAUGGGAGACCAUCUAGGAAGACCAGGUACUAUAGAUG